UACGAAGGGGGCGAGCGUUGUUCGGAAUCACUGGGCGUAAAGGGCGCGUAGGCGGCCCUCUUAGUCGCGUGUGAAAGCCCCGGGCUCAACCUGGGAACGGCGCGAGAAACGGGAGGGCUGGAGUUCGGGAGAGGAGAGUGGAAUUCCCAGUGUAGAGGUGAAAUUCGUAGAUAUUGGGAAGAACACCGGUGGCGAAGGCGGCUCUCUGGACCGAGACUGACGCUGAGGCGCGAAAGCGUGGGGAGCAAACAGG
rnacentral:rRNA from 1 species